rnacentral:pre_miRNA from 13 species
CCCUCAGGUCGUAAUUAGCAGCGCACAACAUUCGUCGGCGAUAAUUAAUGACGUUGGUCACGUUGGUUUCAUGUCGAUUUCAUUUCAUGACACGGCCG